UGGGGAAUUUUGGACAAUGGGCGAAAGCCUGAUCCAGCAAUGCCGCGUGUGUGAAGAAGGCCUUCGGGUUGUAAAGCACUUUUGUCCGGAAAGAAAUGGCUCUGGUUAAUACCUGGGGUCGAUGACGGUACCGGAAGAAUAAGGACCGGCUAACUACGUGCCAGCAGCCGCGGUAAUACGUAGGGUCCAAGCGUUAAUCGGAAUUACUGGGCGUAAAGCGUGCGCAGGCGGUUGUGCAAGACCGAUGUGAAAUCCCCGAGCUUAACUUGGGAAUUGCAUUGGUGACUGCACGGCUAGAGUGUGUCAGAGGGGGGUAGAAUUCCACGUGUAGCAGUGAAAUGCGUAGAGAUGUGGAGGAAUACCGAUGGCGAAGGCAGCCCCCUGGGAUAACACUGACGCUCAUGCACGAAAGCGUGGGGAGCAAACAGGAUUAGAUACCCUGGUAGUCCACGCCCUAAACGAUGUCAACUAGUUGUUGGGGAUUCAUUUCCUUAGUAACGUAGCUAACGCGUGAAGUUUGACCGCCUGGGGAGUACGGUCGC
rnacentral:rRNA from 1 species